CUGAAAAUACAGAAAAACAUUUAGUGCUCUACCAAGUUCAGGCCAGGACAUGAGUAUGCCAAGCGCUCCUUCAGGUAGUCAACCAGCCCUCGCUGAGCGCUUCGUGGGCCAGGCACCCAGGACACCCUGAUGAAUGAGAUGACCUGGUCCUUUCGUUAAAGAGCUUAAAGCCAGGAUGGGGGGGAAGAUGGAGGUGAGGGUGCUACAGCGGUUAGGAAAGGCCACUUGAGAGAAAACAUGGCUCUUGUAAGAUGUGUCAAGAAGGCAAGGGGCAGGGAUCAGGGAGGGACGAACGAGGGAACCUUGAGGGUCUUUGUGGAGAGGGUUGUGGGAAGGUGAGUGGAGUUACACUUGUCACCUCCCACCGCCUGGGUGUGUCCCUUCCAGGUCCAGAGCAUCCAGGUCUCCAACUAGCAGUUCGGCCUCAGUGAGCAUGAGCCAAGUCCCUACUUCCUCUAGGUCAGGUUUGAUGGCAUCAUGGACUUGGCUUACCGGGCCCUGGCAGAGGGCAGGAGCAUCACAGCCCUGCAGGGCAUGCUGCAGGCAGGCCUCCUCUCCAGUUAAGUCUUCAGCUUCUACCUGGGCAGAGAUAGGAGCUCUCAGAACAGAGCAGUUCUCAUAUUCAGAGGGAUGGACCACAGCCUGCACAAGGGAACCAGUCUACUGGGCCCCAGUCACCCAGGAGCACUACUGGCAGAUUCGCAUUGAGGAGUGAGUGUGUGCUGGGGACGUGAGGAAGUGGCAGGCUUUGAGGCCUUUCAUGGCGUGCGUGCAUGCACACGCGCGCGCACACACACACACACACACACACACACAGGUUGGUACCGCUAGGAGGUCGGGCUAGGCGACUCCUGAGGCCUGCCCUUACAAAGCCACAGAUGUCCUCUGUUGGAGAUUGAAGGCCCACCUCAGCCUGAAGAAGUGGGUGAGGUGGGGACAACAUAAUAGGGGCAGGUCUUAGAAUCUCAAACAUUAUAGACUCUGUGGUCCAACACUGUGUGUUACAGGUUGUAAACUAUGGUGAAUGUGGGGGGAUUAAUGUGCUCAACGUACUUACAACCAUUCAGUGACCCAGGCUUUCAGUGUUUCUAGAACCUUCCUUGCAACUUUUAAGAAAGACAUUCCAUGGCCAUUUAGGUGUCCUUGGACAGACUGAGCCGGGGGGUGGCUGGAUUGACCUCUGCAGAGUCCUGACCUUCCUGAGGUGUACCUUGAUUCUGUGGCUGAAGCUGUUUAUUCCUCAGAGGCCGGGAAAGCCCACCUCCGAAAUGCCCUGAGCUGGAGUUGCUAAGGGCGCUCCUCUCCUCACCAUUCAGGUUCCUCAUUGGUGGCUGUGCCACCAGCUGGUGCUCCCAGGGCUGCCAGGCCAUUGUGGACACAGGCACAUCUCUGCUCACUGUACCCCAGCAGUAACCUGAGUGCCCUUCUGCAGGCCAUAGGGGCCCAGGCGGACCAAUAUGGACAGGUGUGUCUGGUGGAGGCAUCCCCCUCUUUCGGAGAGGUUUGUUGGGAAGCAUUUAUGAUUCUUCCGGGAGUAGCCCCACUCUUGGCCUCUGUGCUUCCAGCUGCCCAAAGCCCUGGAGGUGGUGGGGGGGUGUUGGGCUGGAGGCCUGGAGACUGAGUCUGGGGUGUGGAGGCUUGUGCUGAGGGGGUAAGGGGUGGUCAUGACUGG
rnacentral:lncRNA from 1 species